GCUGUGUUCCCAUAAUGGCAUUGGAGCUGAUUGCUAAUCAGUCGGUCGUUCAUUCGACUUGUAGGUUCGAAUCCUACACACAGCG
rnacentral:tRNA from 1 species